AACCCAAGUUAUGGACUGAACUAACUCAACAGACUUUUAUAAUCUUACCACCUUUCUCCUAUUUUGUCUCCAUCCUGCAGGAGAGAAGAUACCUUAUCUAACAGAAGAUAUAGAGGUGACAGUUGAAGAAUCUGAGGAGCCAUAAGGCUGUAUGGAAAUGGCUACAGUCCAUGAAGGAGAAAUUCAGGACAGAGGAGGCUCUUCAAGAGAUUGUGUUGAGAAGUGGAUAUUAGACACUGCUCUGCCUGGAUGAUAGUGAUGGUGAGAAAGUCCUUGUCCUUCCUCCAGUGAUUUUACUAUAUGACAAGUCCAUUCUCCCAAACAUUUUGUGAAAUUGCAACUAUGUGGUGUAAAAAUUCGUUUGGGAUAUUGGUCACAUGGAGACUGCAAAUAGACUGUAACUCCAAAGGUGGAGCUCAUCCACAUGACCUUUUUGUUCACUGUUCAUAUUUUGAAUGUCACUUUUAUUAGAGCAGACGAGUUUGUGUUGUCUUCUUUGACAGAGUUCAUAAGCUGCUGCCAGCAUCUUUUCAGGGAACUCUUGGAAACUGCUAAAGAAAUCCUGGAAGGAAUCUAGCUUGAGUAGCAGGCAAUCUGUAGUGUAAAUUUCUUCCAGACCGCUGAGCAAUAGGAAUCACACUGUUUUAAUAUCUGAUACAAACUUUUAUAUAAACAACUGCUGAUUUGCAAUUAGUAACUAGACAGAGUUUGUCAGAAACUGGCUACUUUGUAUUUCAUUGAUUAUCAUCCACAAAUGAUGGUCUUUCUUUGCUGGCAAAUGAUUCAAGCAAAGUGAUCUUUCCUAUUGCUAUAAUGGCACAUUCUGGUCAUUGGACAUACUUUGAAAGUCUUAAAAUAAAUGAAAAGAGAACUAAUAUA